UGGCUGCGGUAUAUUGACCGUACUAAGGUAGCAUAAUAAUUAGGUUAUUUAUUGUGAUCUUGAAUGAAAGGUUUGACGUAAAAAUGGCUUUCUUAUUUUUUUUGUUGAAUUUAAAUUACUAGUAAGAAUGCUUGUAUUAUAAAUAAACGAGAAGACCCUAUUAAGUUUUAUAAGAAUUGAUUUAAUAUUUAAGUGUAGAUAAAAUUUUGUUUUAUUUUGUUGGGGCGAUAAUUAAUCAAUAUGCAUUAUAUUAAAUUACUUUUAUAAAAGUUGUGAACCAUUAAUAAUGAUUAUUAGGAUAAAUUACUAUAGGGAUAACAGCUUAAUUUUAUUGGAGAGUUCUUAUUGAUAAUAAAGUUUAUGACCUCGAUGUUGAAUCAAUUUUUUCUAUAAAAUGAAGAUGUUUUAUUAGAUAGUCUGUUCGACUAUUAAAUAUUUACG
rnacentral:rRNA from 1 species